rnacentral:rRNA from 1 species
CAGCAGCCGCGGUAACACGUAGGGGGCGAGCGUUGUCCGGAAUUACUGGGCGUAAAGGGCGCGUAGGCGGCCUAUUAAGUCAGAUGUGAAACCCCUGGGCUUAACCUAGGGCUUGCAUUUGAAACUGAAAGGCUUGAGGGCAGGAGAGGAAAGCGGAAUUCCCAGUGUAGCGGUGAAAUGCGUAGAUAUUGGGAGGAACACCAGUGGCGAAGGCGGCUUUCUGGACUGAACCUGACGCUGAGGCGCGAAAGCCAGGGUAGCAAACGGGAUUAGAUACCCCGGUAGUCCUGGCUGUAAACGAUGGAUACUAGGUGUGGGAGGUAUCGACCCCUUCUGUGCCGCAGUUAACACAUUAAGUAUCCCGCCUGGGGAGUACGGCCGCAAGGCUGAAACUCAAAGGAAUUGACGGGGGCCCGCACAAGCGGUGGAGCAUGUGGUUUAAUUCGAUGCAACGCGAAGAACCUUACCAGGUCUUGACAUCCCUCUGACCGGUAUAGAGAUAUACCCUCUCUUCGGAGCAGAGGAGACAGGAGGUGCAUGGCC